CUACUAUGCUAUUACAAGCAUCCAUCACAAAGAUUUUAUAUUUUACAAUAUUACAAAUACCUUUAAGUUAUUACAACUUAUACAAAUUACUACAAGUUUGUUUCUUUCAUUUAGUACUCUUAGCUAGACCACUUCAGGGUAUUGCUAUCUCGGUCUCAGUGUUAGGGCGCUAUCUACGGAGCUACGCCCUUUCCUCGCGCCGCCGCGCUGCUCGCGUGCGAACCUGAAACCCCAAAACCACGUGGGGUGAGAACUAUAUAAAUAUAGUUUCCAAUGAGUACGGCUACCCAAGGAAAAAGCUCGACCCACGAGGUACAAAGGAGGCACUGUAACAUGUUAGACCAACAGAUAAUCACAAAUAAUUUAUGUAGAUAAUAUUUACAUGUAUGCCUCAAUAUAUGCAAUAUGCAAAUUAUGCGAUUACAUAACAGUAGAUCUACAGAUUCUACUUUCUAUCUCGCUAUCCAUAGCUCAUAUCACACUAGCUUCUAAGGUUUCAUCUACCUUAAUCAAGCUAUCGACCCGACUAGACCUAGAGUCAAUCAUCCGCGAAGUACCUCGUUAAGUCAGGCUUGAGGUGAAGGACGUCUCACAAGCACCUCAGCCUUAAGUACACGCGACUAUAGGUCUAUCACAGGGAGAGGAGAACCAUCGAUCCCCGUGACCAUAAGUCGCUCAAGCUCAACGGGCGAGGAGAACCGUCAAACCCGUUCGAGCUCAUAACGGGCGAGGAGAACCGUCGAACCCGUUGAAUCACUACCGGGCGAGGAGAACCGUCGAACCCGUUGAAUCACUACCGGGCGAGGAGAACCGUCAAACCCGUAGUUCUGAUUCACUUGUUUCAUGGCAUACCGGGCAAGGAGAAACAUCGAGCCCGUUGAAUCACUACCGGGCGAGGAGAACCGUCAAACCCGUAAUUCUAAUUCUAUUCUUGCCAACAGCACCAUUUCUAGGGAUUCCGGAACCCACUUUCACAACUUAAGGGUUUAACACUUACCCUAUGUUGACGACCUUCCUAUGUCUAACUCAAUUUAUUUCCUAGUGGUCCUUCUACCACUAUAACCCAUGACUUAAUUCAAAUACACUAAGUGUCACUAUACAUCAUAACCUAGGUUCAAUCACGCUAGGUUCUAUGUCAUUUCAUCUAGAUCUCGGCACCUAUGUUCAAUGACACUAGGUUCAUGUCCAACCUAUGUUUAAUAACACUAGGUUCAUGCCACUCGAUCUAUGUAUCAUCCUAGUUAUCCUUGCCUUCAUCUUAGUUAUCCUUGCCUAGGAUCAUAGUUCACAUAUUCUCACUUUACACUUUAUAACCGGUGAAUUCUCUAUUCAACCUAGAGUUAUCAACCAAUACUCAAUUCAUGUGAAUUUAGCAUGUUCACAAUAUGUCAAUAUUCAUAUAUGCUCUAGCAUUAACCACAAUGUAUUCGUAUGCAUAUUUCAACGGUAGGUAACAUUAGCUAAUAUAUCAUAAUUGAUGCCUUCACUUUAUCAUUCAUAACCUACCACUAUACAUAUAUGCAUCAAUAAAAACCAUACAUUACUUUGGCAUGGAAGUGACCUAAUCGCUUCGGUGAAGCACAACCCACCUUUAGUUGAUACCGGAAUGUGAGAAAUUCACUUCCCGCACUUUACGGACGACCGCAAUCCUUGCGCGCGACAACUUGAGCUAAUAUGAGGUUUUCCUCACUAGCUUGCCGUAGGCUCAUCGGAAUGUCGAUCCAAGCUUUCCAACGCGUUCGCCUUGCCCUCAAUUAGGUUUGUACGCGAUCAAUUCCAAGCGAGAACCUCAAUCAUACAAAAGUGCAUUAUCGAUCUUAGGUUUCCAUUUAACCUAUUGUCAACCCUUUUAUACAGGUUCUACAAGAACCUAUAGAGUACUACAAACUCUAACAAUUUAAGGACUUCAACCAAUUACUGUAGGCAUACGAGAGACCAACUCCUGUUACCCCUCAAUCCUAAAGCUUCGCAUCCACCCAGAAGCUCACAGGUUACAUUCACAACAUAUAGCUUUUCUAUAGGUUUCCAUCGCAAUUGAAGUUCCAAUACCCCAAGGACCUGCAACUAAGGGGUUGAAGAGAUUUACACCAAUCCCCUAAUCAAAAUCCUGCAUAAAUCCUACGUAAACUUUGGUUGUUUACUCCUAGCUACCAAGGCCAAUACACAACACAUAGCUCACAAGUUAACUAUAUAUCCUAUAGUUUACUAUAGGUCCAUCUAUAGUUUUUAUAGGUUUAUCCAUGACUCACAAGUUAACUAUAUAACCUAAUCAAAUUCCAGCUGAGAAUUAAAUUAAUUACCUCAGGCUCGAAGAUUCCAAGGCUGGGUUUCCACUUCGGCAGCUCCAACACGACCAAAACACCAAGCUGCCACUCUCCAACAAAUUCCCUCCUCUACUUUACUUCUAUGGUUGAGAGAGAAAG
rnacentral:lncRNA from 1 species